rnacentral:rRNA from 1 species
GAUGAACGCUGGCGGCGUGCCUAAUACAUGCAAGUCGAGCGAACAGACGAGGAGCUUGCUCCUCUGACGUUAGCGGCGGACGGGUGAGUAACACGUGGAUAACCUACCUAUAAGACUGGGAUAACUUCGGGAAACCGGAGCUAAUACCGGAUAAUAUAUUGAACCGCAUGGUUCAAUAGUGAAAGACGGUUUUGCUGUCACUUAUAGAUGGAUCCGCGCCGCAUUAGCUAGUUGGUAAGGUAACGGCUUACCAAGGCAACGAUGCGUAGCCGACCUGAGAGAGGGAUCGGCCACACUGGAACUGAGACACGGUCCAGACUCCUACGGGAGGCAGCAGUAGGGAAUCUUCCGCAAUGGGAGAAAGCCUGACGGAGCAACGCCGCGUGGGUGAUGAAGGUCUUCGGAUCGGAAAACUCUGUUAUUAGGGAAGAACAAAUGUGUAAGUAACUAUGCACGUCUUGACGGUACCUAAUCAGAAAGCCACGGCUAACUACGUG